AUACGGAGGGCGCAAGCGUUGUUCGGAAUUACUGGGCGUAAAGCGCGUGUAGGCGGUUCGGCAAGUCGGAUGAGAAAGCCCAGGGCUCAACCCUGGAACUGCAUUCGAAACUGCCGGGCUAGAGUCCCGGAGAGGAAGGCAGAAUUCCCAGUGUAGGGGUGAAAUCCGUAGAUAUUGGGAGGAAUACCUGCGGCGAAGGCGGCCUUCUGGACGGUGACUGACGCUGAGACGCGAAAGCGUGGGGAGCAAACAGGAUUAGAAACCCCAGUAGUCC
rnacentral:rRNA from 1 species